AACGAACGCUGGCGGCGUGCUUAAGACAUGCAAGUCGAGCGAGAAAGGGACCUUCGGGUUCUGAGUACAGCGGCGCACGGGUGAGUAACGCGUGGGCAAUCUGCCUCCGGGUCUGGGAUAACCUCGGGAAACUGGGGCUAAUACCGGAUGAGACCACGAGGUCCUCGGAUCUCGCGGGAAAAGGUGGCCUCUUCAUGAAAGCUAUCGCCUGGAGAUGAGCCCGCGUCCCAUUAGCUUGUUGGUGAGGUAACGGCUCACCAAGGCUCCGAUGGGUAGCUGGUCUGAGAGGAUGAUCAGCCACACUGGAACUGAGACACGGUCCAGACUCCUACGGGAGGCAGCAGUCGGGAAUUUUGGGCAAUGGGCGAAAGCCUGACCCAGCAACGCCGCGUGAGGGAUGAAGGCCUUCGGGUCGUAAACCUCUGUCGGGAGGGAAGAACUGUCCCGGGUCCAACAGGCCCGGGAUCUGACGGUACCUCCAAAGGAAGCGCCGGCUAACUCCGUG
rnacentral:rRNA from 1 species